GACGAACGCUGGCGGCGUGCUUAACACAUGCAAGUCGAACGGAAAGGCCCUGCUUUUGUGGGGUGCUCGAGUGGCGAACGGGUGAGUAACACGUGAGUAACCUUCCCUUUACUUUGGGAUAACUUCAGGAAACUGGGGCUAAUACCGGAUAGGAGCUCCUGCUGCAUGGUGGGGGUUGGAAAGUUUCGGCGGUUGGGGAUGGACUCGCGGCUUAUCAGCUUGUUGGUGGGGUAGUGGCUUACCAAGGCUUUGACGGGUAGCCGGCCUGAGAGGGUGACCGGCCACAUUGGGACUGAGAUACGGACCAGACUGCUACGGGAGGCAGCAGGGGGGAAUAUUGCACAAUGGGCGGAAGCCUGAUGCAGAAACGCCGCGUGCGGGAUGACAGCCUUCGGGUUGUAAACCGCUUUCGCCUGUGACGAAGCGUGAGUGACGGUAAUGGGUAAAGAAGCACCGGCUAACUACGUG
rnacentral:rRNA from 1 species